ACUUGAUUUUUGCAUCACAAAAGGAUUUACAUUGAAAGUAAAGACAUGAUAUUACAUUCCAAAAUGGUAAUUCAUAAACAGGAGAAUUCCUACAUCUAACGAUCUGCAUCACCUCGUGGCAUACCUGUUUCAACAACAACCAUAUUAAUUAACUUUCUCAUUAUAUUAAUCUAAUAUUAAAUAAUUACUCUUAACCUUUGAAAUUUAGUACUUCUACUUCAAUCUAACUUACUCCUAUAAUUUACAUAAUCUUUUUAGGAUUAAAAAUCCACUAAUUCCUCUUAAUUACCAAAUACAUCUAACACUUCCAUAUAGAUACCCAAAAUUCAUUUUUUUCCUUCCUCGGUUACCAAUAGACCCAGUAAUUCCAUUCGAAUUACCUAUCAUCCAGCUAACCUCUUUUGUUAGCCAAUCAAUCCGGUAAUUCCAUAUGAAUUACUCCUUAUCCAGUUAACCUCUUUGUUAACCAAUAAACCCGGUAAUUCUCUUUAUUACCCAAAAAUCCGACUAACCCAUUUCGGUUAGCAAAAUCAAUCCGGUAAUUCCAUAUGAAUCACCCAGUAUCCGGCUAAUCUCUUUUGUUAGCCAAUCAAUCCGGUAAUUCCAUUCGAAUUACCUAGCAUCCGACUAAUCUCUUGUAUUAGUCAAACAAUCCGGUAAUUCCAUACGAAUUACCCCAUAUCCGGUUAACCUCUUUGUUAACCAAUAAAACCGGUAAUUUCACAUAAUCAUAACUCAAAUUAUUCAUUUGCUCCAUUCAUUUAAUAUCAAUUAAAUAAGCAACAUAGAUAAUUAGGAAAACUAAAAAUUACAAAAUGAGGUGACGAAUUCACCUACCUUCUGUUCGGGAUGACCCAGCUCCUCCUGUCUGAUAACCAGCUCCAGACACAGCUCCUGAAUCAAUCAAGUGUCAUUAUAUCAUUAGUCCAUCAAUAUUUUUUUCUUAUGUGCCGAAACAUAAAGCACAUAAUAUUUUUAUUAGUAAUUUGUUCUAAUAAAAAUUCAUUCUCAAAUAUAACAUCAUUAUUUUACAUACAACCUCAUAUUUAACUCAAGUUACUUCUUUGUUUUCUCUAUGUUCAUAAUUCCUCCAUCGAAUAAUUCUUCUAUUCUUUAUACCCUCACAUCAUAUUAUUUAUUUUAUUUAAAUACUAUAUUCAAACACAAUCUAGGCAUCUUGUCUUCAUAUUUUCUUUUAACUAGUUUAUUUCUCUUUUAAUUUGAAUUUACAUAUUAUUAUUAUUAUUAUUUUCUCAACUUAAAUGCUAUCUCUUCAUUUAGUCUUUCUUACAUUUUCAUUUAUCAUGAUUAAACAUGGUUUUUUUCUAAACAUUAACAUCAAAACUCAUUCUCCCAUUUUUAUUUUUUUUCCUUCAUUGGCCGAAUGUGAUGUUUCUUUUUCCUCCCCCAAAUCUUUCUUCAUUUACUUGUUAUUUCAACUUGUUUUCAUUCUAUUCCUCUUCAAUUUCAUCAUUUUCCCUUCCCCUCCUAAUUCCCCCAAAUUCACAUAAGAACCCUAAGUUCAAUAAUCUAGGAUUUAAGGGAAACUAAGGUAAAGUUCCAUGAAAUUACUUCCUAAUUUAAUCAAAUAAGCUUAGGAAAAACAUCUAAAUCAACAUUAAAUCCAAACUUCUCAUGCUUACCUAUUGCUUUUCUUCCAAUUUCUCUUCUCUUCCAAGGUUAGCUGAAUUCCCCUUCUCAAAUCCUCCUUCCUUCACUUGAUUUAGUGUUUUAUAGGUUUAACUUGCAAGUUUAUAAAGCUAUUCUCUCAAUUUCCUUAUUGUUUUUCCUUACUUUUCUCUCUAUCUCUCACGUUAUGCUCUGUUUUUCUUUUCAUCUUUUUGUUUCUGC
rnacentral:lncRNA from 1 species